rnacentral:rRNA from 1 species
GAUGAACGCUGGCGGCGUGCCUAAUACAUGCAAGUCGAGCGAACAGACGAGGAGCUUGCUCCUCUGACGUUAGCGGCGGACGGGUGAGUAACACGUGGAUAACCUACCUAUAAGACUGGGAUAACUUCGGGAAACCGGAGCUAAUACCGGACAAUAUAUUGAACCGCAUGGUUCAAUAGUGAAAGACGGUUUUGCUGUCACUUAUAGAUGGAUCCGCGCCGCAUUAGCUAGUUGGUAAGGUAACGGCUUACCAAGGCAACGAUGCGUAGCCGACCUGAGAGGGUGAUCGGCCACACUGGAACUGAGACACGGUCCAGACUCCUACGGGAGGCAGCAGUAGGGAAUCUUCCGCAAUGGGCGAAAGCUUGACGGAGCAACGCCGCGUGAGUGAUGAAGGUCUUCGGAUCGUAAAACUCUGUUAUUAGGGAAGAACAAAUGUGUAAGUAACUAUGCACGUCUUGACGGUACCUAAUCAGAAAGCCACGGCUAACUACGU